UACGUAGGGUGCAAGCGUUAUCCGGAAUUAUUGGGCGUAAAGAGCGUGUAGGCGGCCAGGUAGGUCUGCUGUGAAAACUCGAGGCUCAACCUCGAGAUGUCGGCGGAAACCAUCUGGCUAGAGUCCGGAAGAGGAGAAUGGAAUUCCCGGUGUAGCGGUGAAAUGCGCAGAUAUCGGGAAGAACACCCGUGGCGAAGGCGGUUCUCUGGGACGGUACUGACGCUGAGACGCGAAAGCGUGGGGAGCGAACAGG
rnacentral:rRNA from 1 species